GACGAACGUUGGCGGCGUGCCUAACACAUGCAAGUCGAGCGAAGUGAUCCGGAGUGAAGUUUUCGGACUAAGCGAAGGAUCAUCUUAGCGGCGGACGGGUGAGUAACGCGUGAGAAACCUGCCUUUCACAAAGGGAUAGCCUCGGGAAACUGGGAUUAAUACCUUAUGACACUUAUCACUCGCAUGGGAGAUAAGUCAAAGCGAAUAAGCGGUGAAAGAUGGUCUCGCGUCCUAUUAGCUAGUUGGUGAGGUAACGGCUCACCAAGGCCUCGAUAGGUAGCCGGCCUGAGAGGGUGAACGGCCACACUGGAACUGAGACACGGUCCAGACUCCUACGGGAGGCAGCAGUGGGGAAUAUUGCACAAUGGAGGAAACUCUGAUGCAGCGACGCCGCGUGAAUGAUGAAGGCCUUCGGGUUGUAAAGUUCUGUCCUUGGGGAAGAUAAUGACGGUACCCAAGGAGGAAGCCCCGGCUAACUACGUGCCAGCAGCCGCCGUAAAAC
rnacentral:rRNA from 1 species